rnacentral:rRNA from 1 species
GAUGAACGCUGGCGGCGUGCCUAAUACAUGCAAGUCGAGCGAAUGGAUUAAGAGCUUGCUCUUAUGAAGUUAGCGGCGGACGGGUGAGUAACACGUGGGUAACCUGCCCAUAAGACUGGGAUAACUCCGGGAAACCGGGGCUAAUACCGGAUAACAUUUUGAACCGCAUGGUUCGAAAUUGAAAGGCGGCUUCGGCCGUCACUUAUGGAUGGACACGCGUCGCAUUAGCUAGUUGGUGAGGUAACGGCUCACCAAGGCAACGAUGCGUAGCCGACCUGAGAGGGUGUUCGGCCACGCUGGGCCUGAGACACGGCCCAGACUCCUACGGGAGGCAGCAGUAGGGAAUCUUCCGCAAUGGACGAAAGUCUGACGGAGCAACGCCGCGUGAGUGAUGAAGGCUUUCGGGUCGUAAAACUCUGUUGUUAGGGAAGAACAAGUGCUAGUUGAAUAAGCUGGCACCUUGACGGUACCUAACCAGAAAGCCACGGCUAACUACGUGCCAGCCGCCGCCGUAA